GCAUAUCAAUAAGCGGAGGAAAAGAAACCCAACCGGGAUUGCCUCAGUAACGGCGAGUGAAGCGGCAAGAGCUCAAAUUUGAAAUCUGGCCCCCUCGGGGUCCGAGUUGUAAUUUGCAGAGGAUGCUUCGGGAGCGGUCCCCAUCUAAGUGCCCUGGAACGGGCCGUCAUAGAGGGUGAGAAUCCCGUCUGGGAUGGGCGGCCGCGCCCGUGUGAAGCUCCUUCGACGAGUCGAGUUGUUUGGGAAUGCAGCUCUAAGCGGGUGGUAAAUUUCAUCUAAAGCUAAAUACUGGCCGGAGACCGAUAGCGCACAAGUAGAGUGAUCGAAAGAUGAAAAGCACUUUGAAAAGAGAGUUAAACAGCACGUGAAAUUGUUGAAAGGGAAGCGUUGUCCACCAGACUCGCCCGGGGGGGUUCAGCCGGCACGUGUGCCGGUGUACUCCUCUCCGGGCGGGCCAGCAUCGGUUUGGGCGGCUGGUGAAAGGCCCCGGGAAUGUACCACCCUCCGGGGUGUCUUAUAGCCCGGGGUGCCAUACAGCCAGCCUGGACCGAGGCCCGCGCUUCGGCGAGGAUGCUGGCGUAAUGGUGGUCAACGGCCCGUCUUGAAACACGGACCAAGGAGUCUAACAUCUAUGCGAGUGUUCGGGUGUCAAACCCGUCCGCGCAGUGAAAGCGAACGGAGGUGGGAGCCCCUCGGGGCGCACCAUCGACCGAUCCUGAUGUCUUCGGAUGGAUUUGAGUAAGAGCAUAGCUGUUGGGACCCGAAAGAUGGUGAACUAUGCCUGAAUAGGGCGAAGCCAGAGGAAACUCUGGUGGAGGCUCGCAGCGGUUCUGACGUGCAAAUCGAUCGUCAAAUUUGGGUAUAGGGGCGAAAGACUAAUCGAACCAUCUGGUAGCUGGUUCCUGCGAU
rnacentral:rRNA from 1 species